rnacentral:misc_RNA from 1 species
AAGUCGUAACAAGGUUUCCGUAGGUGAACCUGCGGAAGGAUCAUUAACGAGUUAGGGUCUCUCCAGGCCCGACCUCCCAACCCUUUGUCUACCUUGCUGCAUGUUGCUUUGGCGGACCCGUCUCACGACCGCCCUGGGACCGCCGAGAGGUGUCCCUAGGCCCGUGUCCGCCGAUAGCCAACCUAAACUCUUGGAUGAAUCGUGUUUUAUGUCUGAGUCUUGUGAUUAAAUCAAAAGCAAAAACUUUCAACAACGGAUCUCUUGGUUCUG